AUUGAACGCUGGCGGCAUGCCUAACACAUGCAAGUCGAGCGAGCGGCGGACGGGUGAGUAAUGUAUGGGGACUGCCCGAUAGAGGGGGAUAACCACUGGAAACGGUGGCUAAUACCGCAUACUAUCGGAUAACCCAUAUGGGAUUAGCUAGGAGGUGGGGUAAAGGCUCACCUAGGCGACGAUCUCUAGCUGGUCUGAGAGGAUGAACAGCCACACUGGGACUGAGAAACGGCCCAGACUCCUACGGAGGCAGCAGUGGGGAAUAUUGGACAAAGGACGCAAGCCUGAUGCAGAAAGGCCGCGUGUAUGACGAAGGCCUUAGGGGUGUAAAGUACUUUCAGCGGGGAGGCGUUACCCGCAGAAGAAGCACCGGCUAACUCCGUGCCAGCAGCCGCGGUAAUAC
rnacentral:rRNA from 1 species